AUGCAGUCGAACGAUGAAGCCCAGCUUGCUGGGUGGAUUAGUGGCGAACGGGUGAGUAACACGUGAGUAACCUGCCCUUAACUCUGGGAUAAGCCUGGGAAACUGGGUCUAAUACCGGAUAGGAGCGCCUACCGCAUGGUGGGUGUUGGAAAGAUUUAUCGGUUUUGGAUGCGACUCGCGGCCUAUCAGCUUGUUGGUGAGGUAAUGGCUCACCAAGGCGACGACGGGUAGCCGGCCUGAGAGGGUGACCGGCCACACUGGGACUGAGACACGGCCCAGACUCCUACGGGAGGCAGCAGUGGGGAAUAUUGCACAAUGGGCGAAAGCCUGAUGCAGCGACGCCGCGUGAGGGAUGACGGCCUUCGGGUUGUAAACCUCUUUCAGUAGGGAAGAAGCGAAAGUGACGGUACCUGCAGAAGAAGCACCGGCUAACUACGUGCCAGCAGCCGCGGUAAUACGUAGGGUGCGAGCGUUAUCCGGAAUUAUUGGGCGUAAAGAGCUCGUAGGCGGUUUGUCGCGUCUGUCGUGAAAGUCCGGGGCUUAACCCCGGAUCUGCGGUGGGUACGGGCAGACUAGAGUGCAGUAGGGGAGACUGGAAUUCCUGGUGUAGCGGUGGAAUGCGCAGAUAUCAGGAGGAACACCGAUGGCGAAGGCAGGUCUCUGGGCUGUAACUGACGCUGAGGAGCGAAAGCAUGGGGAGCGAACAGGAUUAGAUACCCUGGUAGUCCAUGCCGUAAACGUUGGGCACUAGGUGUGGGGACCAUUCCACGGUUUCCGCGCCGCAGCUAACGCAUUAAGUGCCCCGCCUGGGGAGUACGGCCGCAAGGCUAAAACUCAAAGGAAUUGACGGGGGCCCGCACAAGCGGCGGAGCAUGCGGAUUAAUUCGAUGCAACGCGAGAACCUUACCAAGGCUUGACAUGUUCUCGAUCGCCGUAGAGAUACGGUUUCCCCUUUGGGGGCGGGUUCACAGGUGGUGCAUGAUUGUCGUCAGCUCGUGUCGUGAGA
rnacentral:rRNA from 1 species